rnacentral:rRNA from 1 species
AGAGUUUGAUCAUGGCUCAGGACGAACGCUGGCGGCGUGCCUAACACAUGCAAGUCGAGCGGUCCGGCACUUAACCUUUUAGGUUGGGUGCUGGAUAGCGGCGAACGGGUGAGUAACGCGUGGGUGACCUGCCCGGGAGACCGGGAUAACAGCUCGAAAGGGCUGCUAAUACCGGAUGAUAUCUUUUGGCUGCGGCCAAGGGAUCAAAGCGUUUUAGCGCUCUCGGAUGGGCCCGCGUCCCAUUAGCUAGUUGGUGGGGUAAUGGCCUACCAAGGCGACGAUGGGUAGCCGGUCUGAGAGGAUGGUCGGCCACACUGGGACUGAGACACGGCCCAGACUCCUACGGGAGGCAGCAGUGGGGAAUUUUGCGCAAUGGGGGCAACCCUGACGCAGCGACGCCGCGUGGGUGAAGAAGGCCUUCGGGUUGUAAAGCCCUGUUGGGGGGGACGAUAGUGACGGUACCCCCUGAGGAAGCCCCGGCUAACUACGUGCCAGCAGCCGCGGUAAUACGUAGGGGGCGAGCGUUGUCCGGAAUUACUGGGCGUAAAGGGCGUGUAGGCGGCCUUUCAAGUCGGCUGUGAAAGUCCCCGGCUCAACCGGGGGAUUGCAGUCGAAACUGAGGGGCUUGAGUGCAGGAGAGGAGGGUGGAAUUCCCGGUGGAGCGGUGAAAUGCGUAGAUAUCGGGAGGAACACCGGUGGCGAAGGCGACCUUCUGGCCUGUUACUGACGCUGAGGCGCGAAAGCCGGGGGAGCAAACAGGAUUAGAUACCCUGGUAGUCCCGGCCGUAAACGCUGGGUACUAGGUGUAGGGGGCUUUGUUGCCUUCUGUGCCGUAGUUAACGCAUUAAGUACCCCGCCCAGUUUCCACGGUCGCAAGGCUGAAACUCAAAUGAAUUGACGG